GUGGGGAAUUUUGGACAAUGGGCGCAAGCCUGAUCCAGCCAUGCCGCGUGCAGGAUGAAGGCCUUCGGGUUGUAAACUGCUUUUGUACGGAACGAAAAGACUCCUUCUAAUAAAGGGGGUCCAUGACGGUACCGUAAGAAUAAGCACCGGCUAACUACGUGCCAGCAGCCGCGGUAAUACGUAGGGUGCGAGCGUUAAUCGGAAUUACUGGGCGUAAAGCGUGCGCAGGCGGUUAUGUAAGACAGAUGUGAAAUCCCCGGGCUCAACCUGGGAACUGCAUUUGUGACUGCAUAGCUAGAGUACGGCAGAGGGGGAUGGAAUUCCGCGUGUAGCAGUGAAAUGCGUAGAUAUGCGGAGGAACACCGAUGGCGAAGGCAAUCCCCUGGGCCUGUACUGACGCUCAUGCACGAAAGCGUGGGGAGCAAACAGGAUUAGAUACCCUUGUAGUCC
rnacentral:rRNA from 1 species